rnacentral:rRNA from 1 species
GAGCCUCCUCUAGCCCAGCCACAACACCCAAAGACUAAUUAAAAAUUCACCCUCCACCACUAAACUAAAACAUUCUUCCGCCCUAGUAUAGGCGAUAGAAAAGGCCCACUGGCGCAAUAGAGCUCCGUACCGCAAGGGAUAGAUGAAAUAAAAAUGAAACUUCAAGCAAUAAGCAGCAAAGAUAUACCCUUUUACCUCCUGCAUCAUGGUUUAGCGAGAACAACCAAGCAAAGCGAACUUAAGCUUGCCCCCCCGAAACCCAUGCGAGCUACUUACAAGCAGCUGCCCCCGAGCGAACCCGUCUCUGUUGCAAAAGAGUGGGACGACUUGUCAGUAGAGGUGAAAAGCCAACCGAGCUGGGUGAUAGCUGGUUACCUGCAAAACGAAUUUAAGUUCACCCUUAGUCUCUCCCCCAAGGAUUCCCAGCAACCUAAAUUGAAAUGAGCUAAGAGCUAUUUAAAGGAGGUACAGCUCCUUUAAUAAAGAAUACAGUCUUCAUUAGCGGAUAACUUAUAAAACUCUCAAAACUGUAGGCCCUCAAGCAGCCACCAACAAAGAGUGCGUCAAAGCUCUAUAUAGGAAAAAUACAUAAACAGCACGACUCCCUUCAAAACUAGCAGGUCAAUCUAUAGACAAUAGAAGAACUAAUGCUAAAAUGAGUAGCUAGGUGGUUUACUACCUCUCAAGCGCAAACUUAGUAACAAGUACCAUUAACAGAAAAAUUAAUGUCCCCAACCACAACAAGACCAAACAUUCCAAUACACUGUUAACCCAACCCAGGUGCGCCCACUAGAAAGAUUAAAAUCUGUAAAAGGAACUCAGCAAACACAAGGCCCGACUGUUUACCAAAAACAUAGCCUCCAGCCUAACGAGUAUUAGAGGUGAUGCCUGCCCAGUGAUACUAAAUUCAACGGCCGCGGUAUCCUAACCGUGCAAAGGUAGCGCAAUCAAUUGUCUCAUAAAUCGAGACCUGUAUGAAUGGCUAAACGAGGUCUUAACUGUCUCUUACAGAUAAUCAGCGAAAUUGAUCUUCCUGUGCAAAAGCAGGAAUAAAUACAUAAGACGAGAAGACCCUGUGGAACUUAAAAAUCAAUGGCCACCACACACCAAACCCAAACCUACCAGGCACACUAACCCCCACAACACUGGCCCAUAAUUUUUCGGUUGGGGCAACCUUGGAGUAAAACAAAUCCUCCAAAAAUGAGACCACCCAUCUUAACCAAGAACCACCCAUCGACGUGCAAACAGCAACCAGACCCAACACAGUUGAACAAUGGACCAAGCUACCCCAGGGAUAACAGCGCAAUCUCUCCCAAGAGCCCCCAUCGACGGAGAGGUUUACGACCUCGAUGUUGGAUCAGGACAUCCCAAUGGGUGCAGCCGCUAUUAAGGGUUCGUUCGUUCAACGAUUAACAGUCCUACGUGAUCUGAGUUCAGACCGGAGUAAUCCAGGUCGGUUUCUAUCUAUGACAAACCCUUCCCAGUACGAAAGGACCGGAAAGGUGGGGCCAAUACUUCCAGGCACGCCUCCUCUCCCCAAGCAAUGACUUCAACUAAACUGCUCAAGGGACUACCCACUUCAAACCCCUAAAAAAGGGCCG